rnacentral:rRNA from 1 species
UACAGAGGUCUCAAGCGUUGUUCGGAUUCAUUGGGCGUAAAGGGUGCGUAGGCGGCGCGGUAAGUCGGGUGUGAAAUCUCGGAGCUUAACUCCGAAACUGCAUUCGAUACUGCCGUGCUUGAGGACUGGAGAGGAGACUGGAAUUUACGGUGUAGCGGUGAAAUGCGUAGAUAUCGUAAGGAAGACCAGUGGCGAAGGCGGGUCUCUGGACAGGUCCUGACGCUGAGGAGCGAAAGCAUGGGGAGCGAACAGG